GAUGAACGCUAGCGGGAGGCUUAACACAUGCAAGGUCGAGGGGGCAGCAUAGGGUAGCAAUACUCUGAUGGCGACCGGCAAACGGGUGAGUAACGCGUAUGCAACCUACCCUGUACAGGGGGAUAACCCGGAGAAAUUCGGACUAAUAUCCCGUAAUAAUAUCCGGGAGGCAUCUUUGGAUAUUUAAAGUUCCGACGGUACGGGGUGGGCAUGCGUAACAUUAGCUGGUUGGUAAGGUAACGGCUUACCAAGGCUAUGAUGUUUAGGGGUCCUGAGAGGGUGGUCCCCCACACUGGUACUGAGACACGGACCAGACUCCUACGGGAGGCAGCAGUGAGGAAUAUUGGUCAAUGGGCGCAAGCCUGAACCAGCCAUCCCGCGUGCAGGAAGACGGCCCUAUGGGUUGUAAACUGCUUUUCCAGGGAGAGAAACUUACGCACGUGUUGCGUGACUGACGGUACCCUGGGAAUAAGCAUCGGCUAACUCCGUG
rnacentral:rRNA from 1 species